UUAAAAAAGACUGGACAUACCCCACUUGCAAUACCUUGGGUUGUUUUCUUUUGUAAAUGGUAUUCCAUCAAGGGAUAAUUCUCAUUCCUGGGCUACUAUAUGUGAAAAAAAAUGAAAGGGAAGCCUUAUAUUUGACUCUCUAACUUUCCAAAACACCAUAAAACCUGUACAUGGGGGUACUGCUAUUUCACUGAACACAAAUAUUAAUGUUUCAAAACAGUAAAACAUAUUACAGCAAUAAUAUCAUCCAUGAAAGUGCCAUUUGUGUGUGAUAAAUAAACAUUACUUUCACUGACGAUAU